UAGGCAUACCGAGAGAGUGCUGGGAAACCAGAGGAAAGUCCGGGCUGCAGCAAGGCAGGGGUCAGUCUAACGGACUGCCGUCGAAAGACGAGGGAAAGUGCCACAGAAAAAAAACCGCCGAUGGGCAUUAUGCCACAGGCAAGGGUGAAAAGGUGAGGUAAGAGCUCACCGGGAAUAUGGCGACAUAUUCCGACAUGGUAAACCCACCCCGCAGCAAGAAGGGAUGGUAAAGCCUUGCAUCUAUACCCUUCGCAUGAGUGGCACCGUAAGGUGUGCGCCGAGAUAAAUACUCUCAUAAACAGAACCCGGCUUACAGGUAUGCCUAAAAC
rnacentral:RNase_P_RNA from 2 species